UGAAGCUGAUGAUGUUGACGAGAUGAACACAAAAGUGCUUGUAUCCUUCAUUUUAUAUCCCCAAAUCUCUUCAAUCCAGGGGCGGGACUUGUGCAAUGGGCCAGCUGAAUGCAGGUGUGUUCUCCCGUCAACAUGAGGCUCCUGCUUCUCCCGCCCCAAAUACAAACAGAGGUGAGGGACGAUAAGCCAGUUUUUGAGAAGAGGCAUCUGGUGGAGGAGGAGGACAUGUAGAUGCACUCCAAGUUCCUGGACAGAAAGGCAGAGCAUGCCUCAUACCUGCGGCUGGCAGCUCCGCGCCAUGAUCCCUGACUUUUGGCAGUUCCUGUUACUACAUAAACCAAGCAAUGUCUUCAUGGUCGCCCGUGAGGACUUCUCUCCCUUCCG
ensembl:lncRNA